GACGAACGCUGGCGGCGUGCUUAACACAUGCAAGUCGAACGGAAAGUCCCUGCUUUUGUGGGGUGCUCGAGUGGCGAACGGGUGAGUAACACGUGAGUAACCUGCCCUUGACUUUGGGAUAACUUCAGGAAACUGGGGCUAAUCCCGGAUAGGAGCUCCUGCUGCAUGGUGGGGGUUGGAAAGUUUCGGCGGUUGGGGGUGGACUGGCGGCUUAUCAGCUUGUUGGUGGGGUAGUGGUUUACCAAGGCUUUGACGGGUAGGCGACCUGAGAGGGUGACCGGCGAAGUUGGGACUGAGAUGCGGCACGGACUCCAACGGGAGGCGGCAGUGGGGAAUAUUGCACAAUGGGCGGAAGCCUGGUGCAGCAACGCCGUGUGCGGGGUGACGGCAUGCGGUUUGUAAACCGCUUUCGCCUGUGACGAAGCGUGAGUGACGGUAAUGGGUGAAGAAGCACCGGCUAACUACGUG
rnacentral:rRNA from 1 species